GACCGUUGCCUAUCCCAGCUGUCAUUGGGUGAAAGACAACACCCUGGAGAGGUUGCCAAAGUGUUGCCAGGCUAACAGAGAGACAGACAACCAUUCUUGCUCACAUCCACGCCUAUGGUCAAUUUACUAUCAUCAUUAACCUAACCACAUGCAUAUUCUGAUGGACUACAAGUCUAUCCAUUCAAGAGACCCAAAGAUCGUAAAGAUGAAGCUGAAGCACACUGAGGACAUCCACACUAGUGGCCAACAAGCCACACAACACACUCUGUGCCAAUGCGUUGGGGACAGCUGGAGAGGAAAUUGGUGUCGCACUCCUAGUAGCCAUCCGUACAGUGCCCUUUCAUCUCCCUCCAGGCCUAACUCGGGCCUGGGUGCGAAGACUGAGUGUCAUUACCUGUAGGAGCAGCUCUCAGCAACAAAAGCAAGAUGGUGAGAAGAAAAUAAGGUUUCCAUCUCCACCUCCCCUCUAAGCAAAGGUCAUUCAUCCUCCUGGGAAUAAGAGGCAACACACUCCACAGUCAGUUAUUCGUCCGUUUCUCCUUUUUAUUUUGUUUUGCAAAUUUCUAUAUGUCAAUCAUGUUAUUCAAAGUAAAUAUCAAACUUUUUUUA